GGUGAAGUCAUCAUCAAUGCAUUAGCCACGAUAAUUGUCGCUGCAGAGUUCCUAAACUGCAAUAUUUCCUUGAAAUCAAUGGCAAUGCCUUUCUUUUUGGAUUUUUCCUGGGUAACAGAGUUAAUUAACAUAGCUUCUCCUUCUUUUCUCCAUUUGUUUGUGAGCUGGAAAAUGGGUUGUUUAAAAGAUUGAAUUUUGGGUGAGAUAGAAUGAGGGCAAGGACUCCAAAGAAGCCCUUGCUUCAUCAUUAUUGCCAUUUUUCUUCUUCACUUUGGAUGAUUUUUUUCUAGU
rnacentral:misc_RNA from 1 species